rnacentral:snRNA from 1 species
AGCUUUGCGCAGUGGCAGUAUCGUAGCCAAUAAGGUUUAUCCGAGGUGCGAUUAUUGCUAAUUAAAACCAAAACAAAGGGGCGCCUGGGUGGCUCAGUGGAUUAAGCCGCUGCCUUCGGCUCAGGUCAUGAUCU